rnacentral:rRNA from 3 species
GGGUUGUGAGGUUAAGCGACUAAGCGUACACGGUGGAUGCCCUGGCAGUCAGAGGCGAUGAAGGACGUGCUAAUCUGCGAUAAGCGUCGGUAAGGUGAUAUGAACCGUUAUAACCGGCGAUUUCCGAAUGGGGAAACCCAGUGUGAUUCGUCACACUAUCAUUAACUGAAUCCAUAGGUUAAUGAGGCGAACCGGGGGAACUGAAACAUCUAAGUACCCCGAGGAAAAGAAAUCAACCGAGAUUCCCCCAGUAGCGGCGAGCGAACGGGGAGCAGCCCAGAGCCUGAAUCAGUGUGUGUGUUAGUGGAAGCGUCUGGAAAGGCGCGCGAUACAGGGUGACAGCCCCGUACACAAAAAUGCACAUAUUGUGAGCUCGAUGAGUAGGGCGGGACACGUGGUAUCCUGUCUGAAUAUGGGGGG